AAAUUGAAGAGUUUGAUCAUGGCUCAGAUUGAACGCUGGCGGCAGGCCUAACACAUGCAAGUCGAACGGUAGCACAGAGAGCUUGCUCUCGGGUGACGAGUGGCGGACGGGUGAGUAAUGUCUGGGAAACUGCCUGAUGGAGGGGGAUAACUACUGGAAACGGUGGCUAAUACCGCAUAACGUCGCAAGACCAAAGAGGGGGACCUUCGGGCCUCUUGCCAUCAGAUGUGCCCAGAUGGGAUUAGCUUGUUGGUGAGGUAACGGCUCACCAAGGCGACGAUCCCUAGCUGGUCUGAGAGGAUGACCAGCCACACUGGAACUGAGACACGGUCCAGACUCCUACGGGAGGCAGCAGUGGGGAAUAUUGCACAAUGGGCGCAAGCCUGAUGCAGCCAUGCCGCGUGUAUGAAGAAGGCCUUCGGGUUGUAAAGUACUUUCAGCGGGGAGGAAGGUGUUGUGGUUAAUAACCGCAGCAAUUGACGUUACCCGCAGAAGAAGCACCGGCUAACUCCGUGCCAGCAGCCGCGGUAAUACGGAGGGUGCAAGCGUUAAUCGGAAUUACUGG
rnacentral:rRNA from 1 species